rnacentral:rRNA from 1 species
GACGAACGCUGGCGGCGUGCCUAAUACAUGCAAGUCGAACGCAGUGGGGAUGGGUGAGUAACACGUGGGUAACCUACCAUCAGAGGGGAAAACACUUGGAAACAGGUGCUAAACCGAUCCUGAUGGAUGGACCCGCGGUGCAUUAGCUAGUUGGUGGGGGAACGGCUCCCCAAGGCCACGCUGCAUAGCCGACCGGAGAGGGUGAUCGGCCACACUGGGACGGAGACCCGGCCCAGACUCCUACGGGAGGCAGCAGUAGGGAAUCUUCGGAAAUGGACGAAAGUCUGACCGAGCAACGCCGCGUGAGUGAAGAAGGUUUUCGGAUCGUAAAACUCUGUUGUCAGAGAAGCGGUAUCUAACCAGAAAGCCACGGCUAACUACGUGCCAGCAGCCGCGGUAAUAC